rnacentral:rRNA from 1 species
UACAGAGGGGGCAAGCGUUGUUCGGAAUUACUGGGCGUAAAGGGCGCGUAGGCGGCCUUCUAAGUCGAACGUGAAAUCCCUGGGCUCAACCCAGGAACUGCGACCGAUACUGGAAGGCUUGAAUCCGGGAGAGGGAUGCGGAAUUCCAGGUGUAGCGGUGAAAUGCGUAGAUAUCUGGAGGAACACCGGUGGCGAAGGCGGCAUCCUGGACCGGUAUUGACGCUGAGGCGCGAAAGCCAGGGGAGCAAACGGG